rnacentral:rRNA from 1 species
GUGUCAGCAGCCGCGGUAACACGUAGGGGCCAAGCGUUGUCCGGAUUUAUUGGGCGUAAAGAGCUCGUAGGCGGUUGGGUAAGUCGGGUGUGAAAACUCCAGGCUCAACUUGGAGACGCCACCCGAUACUGCUCUGACUUGAGUUCGGUAGGGGAGUGGGGAAUUCCUGGUGUAGCGGUGAAAUGCGCAGAUAUCAGGAGGAACACCGGUGGCGAAGGCGCCACUCUGGGCCGAAACUGACGCUGAGGAGCGAAAGCGUGGGUAGCAAACAGGAUUAGAAACCCCCGUAGUCC